UGCAGGGCUGAUGAGGGAAGUGAGAACAGGUGUGCAGUUGGGUGUGGCAGUCAGGCCUGGGAGGAGGGGGGCCAAGGAGCAGUGCAGAGGGCCGGGUAUGAAACAGUGAAGAGAGGGACUGAGGAGCAAACUGUGACAAUCAAUCAGCCCUCUGAGUCACAUUAAUGUCUCUGACACAAGGUGACAGAGUGUCAGCUGUGAUCAGGGCAGACGGUCAAUGGACCAGAACAAAUGUCUCACCUGACAAUAUCCUGCAACCCACCUCUGCUUCCACAAGUUUGGGAGACCCCUCAGCAUAAAGUGCUAUGCAGUGCCAGACACCAGAGCGGAUGUGAUAGUCUUUUCGACAAACAGCAGUGGUUUCUCACCUCCAGAAAAUGGGAAAUGGCCUGUUUUUGCACCUAACCAAGACCUGCACACAAGCUUGCGAGCUGUGCCACGCCUUCAAUUCACUCAGGUUCCUUCGUGCAAAAGUUCCCCGACGCUGCUCUGGGAGGAGGUUUUACAUGAAAGACUGAGUGCUGGUUGGGUGAAAAACCUGGCCCUUUGAUGCAACCCCUUGGAGACUGGAAAUGAGAAAGACCGCUGCGGCAGGAGAGAGGAAGAGAGAGGGUGUCCCCAAGCGUAACUCGGCUCAAGGCUGAGUGUCUCAAAACCUGUUUGGACGUAAACACACCAGCCUCACUGAACUGUUUCAUCAGAUGGCAAAUUGAUCUGUGAUUUCAUAUAUUCACCUGCUUAUUUCUUGCUAUAAAUAGUAGUAAAGCUUAA